AAAAAUAGAAGCCCUAAAAAAGCGCGAGAACGCGAGAGAAAGAGAGAGAGAGAGAGAGUGGGAAAAAGAAAUCCGAAAUUUUUCUCUAAAAAUUCCUCAAAUUUCUCGUCAACAUAGUGACGAGAAACCCUAACCUUCUUCUCCAAACCCUAGUUUUAGGGUUUCUUUCACUCCCGACCCAAACCUUCAUCGCAGCACCGUUCUCCGAAGACCUAGGGUUUCUGUCUUUCUCUUUCUCUCGGAUGCCCACCGGCCAUGACGACGCGGGUAGGUUGCGGUGGCGAUGGCUGUGACUCGCGGGAACCUUGGCCACUCCACCACGUCCGGCAUCGCGGCGUAUUUUGCCGGCUCUGCACGUCGUGCGUGCUCAAGUACCACCCGGGUUCCUUCUGCACCGGCUGCUUUGAGGUGCUUGACGUCUCGCCGCCGCCGGAACGGCCCCUCGUCCACUGCUCUAAGUGUCCUUCCGCAUCACACGUCUCCUGCCUUCGUGAUCCCGCACUUGCUUCCCAAUUUGUCUGUUCUAUCUGCGACAAUCCCGGUGGUUUCUCCUACUUCCCUGUUGGCAGUGCUAGUGGUGAGGAUGGGCGGCGGCUUGUCGAUCUGGCAGCAGCGACGGUGCUUCUGGCUGCUGCUCGUGUCGCGGCGGCUUCUAUGACUCGUGCUGCGGUGGCCGCGAGGGCAGAUGCGGAGAGGAAGGCUCGGGAAGCGGCUUUGGCGAGGAAGAGGGCUAGGGAGAUGCUUGAGAGGGUUUUCUCACUCUCAAAGAAGGCUAGACUGGAGAAAAAGGUAGAGACCGGGGUGGGGAUGGUUUCAAGUGUGCCAGAGGCCGUGGAGCAGAAGAAGAAGAUGCCAAAGCCCAGUGAGCAGAGGAGAGGACACAGCCGGGAGGCAGAGAAGUGGAGGAGGUUCCAAGAGCCAAUUCCGAUGGGCCAUAGGCCAGUGGUGGGGAAUGGAGACAGUGAUAAGUUGAAAAGCACUAAUGUUAGUAUGAGUGUCUCAAAGAAUGACACUGUUAAUAUGAAGGAUAAGGUGGGUGGAUUGCCAAACCCAGCAAAUCAUCAUGCCAAGGUUGAGGAGAAAGGUUCCGUGUUAGGUUCUCAGUUUGUCAGUGUUAAAGAAGAGAAAGGGUUGAUGAAAGAUGAGAAUGCAGACACAAGGAUACCUCAGUCAACGCAAGAUGUACAGGUACCAAGGAAUAAUACCAGAGCUAUACUUACAGGGUCUGCGAACACUGCCAGCUUGCAUUCAUGAGUUGCUGUAUUUUCUUCUUGUUGUGGUGUAUCUUGUGCCCACCAGCAAAAUGCAAGGUUUUCAAGCUGAUGGCUUGGCCUUGAAUGUUUUGAUGUUUCAUUGCUCUCUUCUGAAUGAUUCCUUAAAUUUUGAUCAAGCGCGCUUUAUGAGCUCAGCGGAAUGUUUUAAUCAUCAAAGAGAAAUUACGUCCUGCUCAAUAUCAUCUCUACAAAACAACUACAUAUGCCUGAAGAAGCUGUAUAAGGAAAUCACUGUGAAAUUCAAGAUUGUAACAUUGCUCGAAAAUUUUGAGUUGCUGACCGUGCAUCAUUCGGCCCCUCUGAACAUGUCUUAUGCUUCUGAUCACAGAAAAUCAUAAAGCCGGGAAUUUGCAAUCAAAGUGAGAAAGUCGAACUUGAGACGAGGCUUUGUAUGUAUAUAUAUUCGUAUAAACUUUUUUGGUAUUGCUAGUCAACAAUUCAUAGUAUUGUCAGUGUGGAUGCAAUUUGAGUAUGUUUUAGUUAAAUGAUGACAGUAAGUAGUUUCCA